rnacentral:lncRNA from 1 species
CUUCCUUGUUGAGUGGGGCCUGAGUUUUAAGAGGAUCUUCUGCUCCUCUUCAUCUGGUCCCUUUCCUUCCAAGGCCCCAGAGAGGAAGGCAUGCGGUGGGCCCUAGCGGUGCUUCUAGCUUUCCUGUCUCCUGCCAGUCAGAUAUCUUCCAACUUGGAAGGGAGAACGAAGUCAGUCACCAGGCUGACUGGGUCAUCUGCUGAAAUCACCUGUGAUCUUCCUGGAGCAAGUACCUUAUACAUCCACUGGUACCUGCACCAGGAGGGGAAGGCCCCACAGUGUCUUCUGUACUAUGAACCCUACUACUCCAGGGUUGUGCUGGAAUCAGGAAUCACUCCAGGAAAGUAUGACACUGGAAGCACAAGGAGCAAUUGGAAUUUGA